rnacentral:tRNA from 1 species
GGCCGCCUGGCGAAAUGGCAUCGCGUCUGACUACGACAGUUGUUCAAUCAGGAGAUUGCAGGUUCGACCCCUGCGGUGGUCA